rnacentral:rRNA from 1 species
AAGAUUAAGCCAUGCAUGUCUAAGUAUAAACAAUUCUAUACUGUGAAACUGCGAAUGGCUCAUUAAAUCAGUUAUAGUUUAUUUGAUAAUACCUACUACUUGGAUAACCGUGGUAAUUCUAGAGCUAAUACAUGCACAAAAGCCCGACUUCUGGAAGGGCUGUAUUUAUUAGAUAAAAAAUCAAUGUCUUCGGACUCUUUGAUGAUUCAUAAUAACUUUUCGAAUCGCAU